AAUUAAAGCGUACGGUGGAUGCCUUGACAUCAAAAAGCGAUGAAGGACGUAGCAGGUUGCGAUAAGCUUCGGGGAGUUGCCAAGCAAACUUUGAUCCGAAGAUUUCCGAAUGCGGCAACGCGGUAGAGUAAACCUCUAUCAGUCCGUCAUUUUGGCGGGUAGCGUACCCGGGGAACUGAAACAUCUUAGUACCCGGAGGAAGAGAAAACAAUUGUGAUUCCGUUAGUAGUGGCGAGCGAAAACGGAAAAGCCUAAACCGGUGUAAGCCUCGGAGAUUCUAAAUCUAAUAUUCCAUCUAAGAGAUAUUUAAAUUCAGUUAAUCAAGAUUCAAAACGUAAAAAAGUUUUGAAAAUGUUAAUUUUGAAGAGAAAUAUUAUUUUGGGAUUGAUUGUUGAAUUUUGAGUUUCCGAUGCUUACACCGGGGUUGCGAGGUAAACACUCCUAUUUAAUUAGGGCAGAGUGAAAAAAUAUUUUAUUAGCGGAACAAUCUUGGAAAGGAAGACCAAAGAGGGUAAAAGUCCCGUAAGCGAAAAUAAAAUAUCUCUGUAGUGUUUAUUCUCAAGUAGGGCGGGACAGGAGAAAUCCCGUUCGAAUCUGGGACCACUAUAGCUCCAAGGCUAAAUAUUUUUGAUGAUCGAUAGCGAACUAGUACCGUGAGGGAAAGGUGAAAAGUACCCCGAAAGGGGGGUUAAAAGAUCCUGAAACCGUGCGCAGACAAAGAGUUAGAGCCGACGCUUGCGUCGGUGAUAGCGUGCUUUUUGCAGAACGAGCCAACGAGUUAGUUCUAUGCGGCUUAUCUAAGCAGUUUGUAGCUGCGGAGAUGAAGUGAAAGCGAGGUUUAACCGCCGAAAUUUUGGUCGCAUGGACUAGACCCGAAGCCGGGCGAGCUACACAUGAGCAGGGUGAACUUCGAGUAACAUCGGGGGGAGGCCCGCACCCACUAGUCGUACGACUCUAGGGGAUGACUUGUGUGUAGAGGAGAAAUUCCAAUCGAGCUCGGCGAUAGCUGGUUCUUUCCGAAAUAGCUCUAGGGCUAGCGUUAAGUCAUUAUCAAUAAGAGGUAGAGCUACUGAAAAAGCGACCGUGUCUUCGGACUAGGCCGUUUUAUCAAACUCCGAAUGCUUAUUGAUUUAGCUUAACAGUCAGAACUUGGGCGCUAAGGUCCAAGCUCAAAAGGGAAACAGCCCAGAUCGCCAUCUAAGGCCCCUAAAUUUAUGCUAAGUGGUGAAGGUAGUGGAAUUGCUUAAACAGCUAGAAGGUUGGCUUAGAAGCAGCCAUCCUUUAAAGAGUGCGUAAUAGCUCACUAGUCAAGCGAUUCUGCAUCGAAGAUGUAACGGGGCUAAGCAUAAUGCCGAAGAUGCGAACUGUUGUAUAGCAUCGGAAUUUUCAAUUUCUAAUUUUUCAGUAAUUUUUAAUUUCAAUAAUUGGUUUCUAAAGAAUGGAUUUUUGAAACUUAAUUUUUUGAAAGAAGAAUUUUGAAAUUUUUGGAAUUUCCGGUGCGGAGCGGCUGGUUGGCCGCAGUUAAAGAUACCAAGCGACUGUUUAUCAAAAACACAGCUCUCUGCUAACCCGUAAGGGGAUGUAUAGGGGGUGACGCCUGACCAGUGCUGGAACGUUAACGGGAGCGGUGCAAGCCAAUCCCCGAAGCGCCAGUGAACGUCAGCGAUAACUAUAAUCGUUCUAAGGUAGCGAAAUUCCUUGUCAGGUAAAAAGUCAGAAAUUUGCCUGAAUAUUGCAGUGAUGCAAUAAAAGUAAAUCGGCUAAUAACGAUGAAGCCUUCAGCUUGCGCUAAGAAAUAAAACGAGCUAUGGUAAUAUCGUGGGAAGUUUCCGCUAAUGGCGGAUAACCCCGUAACGACUGAAGUGAAAACGGAGAUUUCUUUUAAUUUUUCAAGAGUUAAAAGGAAUAAAACGCCGACUCUUAUCCUAAACAAAAGAACAUAUGAAUUUUGCAAGUUAUGUUUCCGGUUUUAUUGAUGGAGAAGGAUGCUUUUCUGUGUCUUUCAAUUUUCGAGAAAAACUGAAAACCAAAAUUGAGGUGCGUCCCAGCUUUGCUGUUGGGCAAAACAAACGUAAUCUAGAAAUUUUGAAAGAAAUUCAAAAAUUUUUUAAUUGCGGGAGUUUGCGAUUUUCUCUUAAAGACCAAUGUUAUAAGUAUGAAGUGAGAAACAUUGACGAUUUGAGAAAAAAAAUCAUUCCUCAUUUUGAAAAGUUUCCUUUGCUAACCACUAAAAAAAGGGAUUUUCAAAUUUUUUCAGAAAUUUGUGAGAAAGUGGCACAGAUGAAACAUCGGAAUCCUGAUCAUUUAAAAGAAAUUAUUAAAAUGGCUUUUCAAAUGAAUGUUUCCGGAAAAAGAAAAUAUAACCAAACAAAACUUCUAAGUGUCUUGGAUAAGAUGAAGAUAUAGUCUGAUUUUUCGUGAAAACGAAUAACUAAAGUGAAAUUCUGACCCGCAUUAAAGGCGUAACGACUUGGUAACUGUCUCAACAAGGGGCCCAGCGAAAUUGCAGUGGGGGUGAAGAUGCCCCCUACCUACGGCAAGACGAAAAGACCCCGUGGAGCUUUACUAUAACUUGGCAUUGAAUUCGAGAUGGCAUUGCCGAGCAUAGGUGGGAGACUUUGAAGUCCCGAUUCCGGUUGGGAUGGAGUCAACAGUGGAAUACCACUCUGUGCCAUUUUGAAUUCUAACCCUGGUCUGUUAUUUGGAUUUUUUGAAAUCAAGACAGAAAAGUGUUAGUAAAUGAAAAGUUUGAAAAGACCACAAUUAAGAAAUUUUUAUUAAUCUUUUCUGAUAUCUAAGCCUCAAAAUGUUCAAAUACCAGACCGGGGACAGUGCCUGGUGGGUAGUUUGACUGGGGCGGUCGCCUCCUAAAAAGUAACGGAGGCGCUCACAAAGGUUGGCUAUUCCGCGAUGGAAAUGCGGGAGAUAGGAUAAAACCAGAAGCCAGCUUUACUGAGAGACAAGCUAGUCGAUCAGUUACGAAAGUAGGAUUUAGUGAACCGACCGUCGCAUAUAGGUGCGCGGAAGAUCAGCGGAUAAAAGUUACCCCGGGGAUAACAGGCUAAUAGCGCCCAAUAGUUCAUAUAGACGGCGCUGUUUGGCACCUCGAUGUCGGCUCAUCUCAUCCUGGGGCUGGAGAAGGUCCCAAGGGUAUGGCUGUUCGCCAUUUAAAGAGGUACGCGAGCUGGGUUCAAACCGUCGUGAGACAGGUUGGUCUCUAUCUGCCGUAGGCGUUAUUGCUUGAGAAGAUUCUUCUCUAGUACGAGAGGACCGAGAAGAGCAAACCUCUGGUCGACCGGCUGUUCCUGCCAAGGGCACUGUCGGGUAGCUAUGUUUGUUCGGGAUAACCGCUGAAAGCAUCUAAGCGGGAAGCCCACUUCAAGAUAAGGCAAGAUGACUUCCUGAUAGAACAUCAGGUUGAUAGGUUCUAGGUGCAAGUCCGGUAACGGAUUCAGCCGAGGAAUACUAAUAAGUCGUAUGGCAUU
rnacentral:rRNA from 1 species